UACGUAGGGUGCAAGCGUUGUCCGGAAUUAUUGGGCGUAAAGAGCUCGUAGGCGGUCUGUCGCGUCUGCUGUGAAAACUCAGGGCUUAACCCUGAGCUUGCAGUGGGUACGGGCAGACUAGAGUGCGGUAGGGGAGACUGGAAUUCCUGGUGUAGCGGUGAAAUGCGCAGAUAUCAGGAGGAACACCGGUGGCGAAGGCGGGGUCUCUGGGGCCGUAAACUGACGC
rnacentral:rRNA from 1 species